rnacentral:misc_RNA from 1 species
GAUGAAGAACGUAGCGAAAGGCGAUAAGUAAUGUGAAUUUCAGAAUUCAGUGAAUCAUCGAAUCUUUGAACGCACAUUGCGCCCGCCAGUAUUCUGGCGGGCAUGCCUGUUCGAGCGUCAUUACAACCCUCAGGCCCCCGGGCCUGGCGUUGGGGAUCGGCGGAGCCCCCCGUGGGCACACGCCGUCCCCCAAAUGCAGUGGCGGUCCCGCCGCAGCUUCCAUCGCGUAGUAGCUAACACCUCGCGACUGGAGAGCGGCGCGGCCACGCCGUAAAACACCCAACUCUUCUGAAGUUGACCUCGAAUCAGGUAGGAAUACCCGCUGAACUUAAGCAUAUCAAUAAGCGGAGGA